AUACGGAGGGUGCGAGCGUUAAUCGGAAUUACUGGGCGUAAAGCGUACGUAGGCGGUUGGUUAAGUUAGAUGUGAAAGCCCCGGGCUUAACCUGGGAACUGCAUUUAAAACUGGCGAACUAGAGUUGAGUAGAGGGGAGUGGAAUUUCAGGUGUAGCGGUGAAAUGCGUAGAGAUCUGAAGGAACACCAGUGGCGAAGGCGACUCCCUGGACUAGAACUGACGCUGAGGUACGAAAGCGUGGGUAGCAAACAGGAUUAGAUACCCUAGUAGUCC
rnacentral:rRNA from 1 species